AUUGAACGCUGGCGGCAGGCCUAACACAUGCAAGUCGAGCGAGCGGCGGACGGGUGAGUAAUGUAUGGGGACUGCCCGAUAGAGGGGGAUAACUACUGGAAACGGUAGCUAAUACCGCAUAUUAUCUGAUAACCCAGAUGGGAUUAGCUAGUAGGUAAGGUAACGGCUUACCUAGGCGACGAUCCCUAGCUGGUCUGAGAGGAUGAUCAGCCACACGGGGACUGAGACACGGCCCAGACUCCUACGGAGGCAGCAGUGGGGAAUAUUGCACAAUGGGCGCAAGCCUGAUGCAGCCAUGCCGCGUGUAUGAAGAAGGCCUUCGGGUUGUAAAGUACUUUCAGUCGGGAGGCGUUACCGACAGAAGAAGCACCGGCUAACUCCGUGCCAGCAGCCGCGGUAAUAC
rnacentral:rRNA from 1 species